UCCCUGGUAGAUUAGCGGUAAAGAAUCUGCCUGCAAUGCAGGAGACUCAGGUUCAAUACCUGGGUCAGGAAA
rnacentral:tRNA from 1 species